rnacentral:rRNA from 1 species
GGCGGGCGGGGCGGGGGCACGGGGGGCCUACGGGAGGCAGCAGUGGGGAAUAUUGGACAAUGGGCGCAAGCCUGAUCCAGCCAUGCCGCGUGAGUGAUGAAGGUCUUAGGAUUGUAAAGCUCUUUCACCGGUGAAGAUAAUGACGGUAACCGGAGAAGAAGCCCCGGCUAACUUCGUGCCAGCAGCCGCGGUAAUACGAAGGGGGCUAGCGUUGUUCGGAAUUACUGGGCGUAAAGCGCACGUAGGCGGAUAUUUAAGUCAGGGGUGAAAUCCCAGAGCUCAACUCUGGAACUGCCUUUGAUACUGGGUAUCUUGAGUAUGGAAGAGGUGAGUGGAAUUCCGAGUGUAGAGGUGAAAUUCGUAGAUAUUCGGAGGAACACCAGUGGCGAAGGCGGCUCACUGGUCCAUUACUGACGCUGAGNCGAAG